CAGCCGCGGUAUUCCAGCUCCAAUAGCGUAUAUUAAAGUUGUUGCAGUUAAAAAGCUCGUAGUUGAAUUUCGGGGUUAGUAGGUUGGUCAUGCCUCUGGUAUGUACUGGUCUCACUGAUUCCUCCUUCCUGAUGAGCCGUAAUGCCAUUAAUUUGGUGUUGCGGGGAAUUUGGACUGUUACUUUGAAAAAAUUAGAGUGUUUAAAGCAAGCUAACGCUUGAAUACAUUAGCAUGGAAUAAUGAAAUAGGACGUUCGAUCCUAUUUUGUUGGUUUCUAGGAUUGACGUAAUGAUUAAUAGGGAGAGUUGGGGGCAUUAGUAUUCAAUUGUCAGAGGUGAAAUUCUUGGAUUUAUUGAAGACUAACUACUGCGAAAGCAUUUGCCAAGGAUGUUUUCAUUAAUCAAGAACGAAAGUUAGGGGAUCGAAGACGAUCAGAUACCGUCGUAGUCUUAACCAUAAACUAUGCCGACUAGGGAUCGGAUGAUGUUAAUUUUUUAAUGACUCAUUCGGCGCCUUACG
rnacentral:misc_RNA from 1 species